AGGCAGGAUUUAACUAUAAUAUAGAUGACACGGAUUGUAUUGUUAUUCCCCCUGCUCAAAACAAUGUUGUUUCUUAACUAUACCUGACUGCUAUGUAGCAGCCAGGUAUGUUUAGUCUCAUACAU